rnacentral:precursor_RNA from 8 species
UGAGUUCGGUUUCUACUGUUUGGUUGAGUCAUGUGAAAUUACCAGUAUUUGUCUGCUUUGACCUACAAAAACUGGCAGCUUCAUGUAAUUCAGCCUAAUAAUUGUCAUCAAGGAAGUU